UAUAGGAUGUUAUACUCACCUGUCCCCGCCACUCCCGACCGUCACCGCUGCCCUGGAUGUCGCCCUCCAUAGCUGUUGCUGUGUCCCCGGGGUGUCCCUGACGCUCUGGACGUCUCUGCUUCCCCGGGAUCCCCGGCAUGCGAGGCGACGUGAUGACGACAAAGGAGAGCGCCGGCGAUGGACGGGAUCCCGAAGAGGACGCUCCGGAACACCGAGGACAGCUCAGCUUUGUCCUGUGUCUGCAAGUCAAGCAAUACAAGUCUAUGAAGAGGGGAGGAGGGAGCUCCGCCCACCUGCUCAGGGAGAACUGCAAAUUAUAUAUAAAGGCUGCAGAGCAGAAAUAUGCUGAAUAUACCAUAUAGAAGUUAUAUAAUGGCCAGAAAGAGCGCAGCUCCUCAUGUAUACACACAGGAAAGCUUAUCCUAAAAAGUCACCUGAAAUGACAGAUAUAUCAGAAAUCCAUCAGACAGGAUGCCUGCUCUUUCAUCUCCGUUUUCUUAGUAAAUCCAAGAAGAGCAGUCUGAGCAGAGCUUCAAGAACUACUUGGAAGGAAACUAAGGAAACUGAAAGGAAACUAAGGAAACUGAAUACUCGUCAAGGUGCCAGUCGGGUAUAUAACGGAUAAAGGAACUUCAGUACUAAGUGUAAACCGAAAUGCAAAUGUAUUUAAAAUAAAAACCACAACGCGUUUUGAGGGGCAUUUCCCCACCUCGUCAGGUCAUAAACAUACAGCAGUACAAUGGAUUAAAUAGACAUACCUAUAAGAACAUUAGGCGCACACACAAAUAACCCCAAAGACAUAAAUGCAUAAAUAAUAAAAAAAAUAUAUAUUUAUUUAUUUAUUUAAUUUAGCACAAAAAUAUAUAGUAAAAUGUGAGAAAAUUCUGAAAAAAGACAGAAAAAAACGCAAUAUUGUAUAUGUGUAAAAUUAUAUAAUAUAAUAUGUAGUAGUGGAAGCUGGGGCGAGUGUCCAGUUGUAGUAUCAAAUAUAUAUAAUAUAUGUAAGAGGGACUGCUAAUAAGUAGAGGGACUGCUGCAUGCUAAGAUAUCAAAAGAGUGCAAAAGUGACAAAGGAAAAUAUAAAAAUAACAAUGGUACCUUUAAAAAGGUGUGCCAAAAACUAGUAUAAAAAAAACAUAAAGUGCACAAGUGCCAAACAAUGUAAAUCCAGAUGUCAAUAGCAACAAAGAAAUAUAUAUAACAACAUCGGCAGCAGAUACACCAUCCAGGACUUGCCUCAGCUCCACACCAACACUCCGACACGUUUCACCGGGAAAGGACACGUUUCACCGGGAAAGGCUUUAUCCAGGAGUGAUAAAAUAGAUAAAAUAGGAUUAAAUGGACAUGUAAAGUUUCAGUUCACAUUUAAAAAAUGGCGCAAACAUGGCACCAACUGGAGAUCAUGGUGACGUUAUUGCAAACUUGGAUGGAUUUCUCUUCAUUCUUGCAGUCAGCAGUGUUUGACUGGAGGAUACCAGCAGCCAUUGGCACCUCCAGAGGAUAAAUGGUAGCAUCUUCUUAUGCUACAUGUAAGUGAUGGUCCCAACUCCAAAAACAAGAGACCAUACAAAAGCAAUGUAAAUAGGAAUAUGGACAAACUUUAUUCAGGUAUAGCAAAACCUAAGAAACACAAUAAAAAAAACAUAUAUAAUUCAUGGGCAGAACAGGGAACUCAGGCAGAAGAGAGGGAGAUGAGGGCACUGAAAAAAGUCCUUAGGUUGGGGACUUUUGUAAACAUGGAACUAGGUACCUGGAGAGGUAUAUAUUACUUGAAAUGAUUACUGGAGUAGAAUCACUUUAAGCAUAAUGAUGCUAUCUCUGUAGCAGAUAAUACAAGUCUGUCAACAAGAAUAUGUACUAACAGUAGUGGCUGCGGUAUUAAGGUGCAUAGAAACAUAGUAGAGAACAUACACAUAACAUGAUUAAACAAUGAUGCGAUACAUGACCAGUGCACCUAUGGGGUACCCCUCACCUUCUACCCCUAAAUAUGGCGGAAAGCCAUAUCUCUUUGGUAAAUAUAAGUGAUGGUGUUGCGCUUGUAGCAAACACUGCCAGGUGAGUGCAGGGACCAUCUCCCAGUUGGGGGCUGUCGGUUAGGGCGGAUCAUCUAAGCAGGUAGGGACAGUGGUUGGGGAGAGAUCCAGAUGGCACUGCUCCAUACCCCGUAGCCGCUAAAAAUACAACUCCCAGGCAAUAGAGAAUCCUUAACAAAUGUGGUGAGGGUGUGAUAAGGGCAGAUGGAAUUACCCUAGGGGCAGAUGGCAUUAACCCCUUGUGUUCGUGACACCAGGGCGUGGUUAAUCCUCUAUACCACCCGAAGGUAUACCACUGGAUCCUGGGCUAGGCAAGGGGGAAAAUAAUGACCCUGACGCCAAGUUACUGAACAAUAGCAGCUUUACUGAGUCAGACAGAUGUAACAGUCUAUACAGCUUCUCUAGGCCCAAGGAGGGGACCAGUGACCACAGGGCUUGCUGGGACUUAUAGUGGACUUGGACAAUUUGAUGCAGGGCCACGCUGAUUUGAUACAGAAUAUUUGACUGACUUGACUGAGACAAUGACUUUUUUUGGGGGGGGCCGAAGGGCUCUAGGGUUUGUUUGGUGUUGCAGCAUACCAUGGAGGCGGUUGCGUAGCGUUUUGGGGUCUCGCUGGCUCCAGAUGAGACGGAAGGCCCAUUUACAGUGGUGAAGGUUUUAGGGAUAGUUAUCGACUCAAAUCGUAUGGAGUGUCGCAUGCCUGAGGACAAGUUCGCAGCUCUGAGGCAGUGUGUGCAGCAGUGUCAUAGAUGUAAGAGGGCGCCUUUGAGGGAGGUCCAGUCAUUGCUGGGGAAAUUGAAUUUUGCCUAUGGGCAGGGUCUUUUGUAGGCAUUUUUCCUUGGACACUGUGGGGGUGUUGGUUCCGCAUCACUACGUUCGCCUGUCUGGGGAGGAGCGGGUGGACUUGGAGAUCUGGGAUUCCUUUUUGUCUGUCUACAGCGGCAGGUCCAUCUGGAUGGCGGAGGUGGUUGAUGAUGCUGAAUUAGAGAUGUUUACCAACGCAUCCAGUUUGGUAGGUUAUGGGUGUUUUUUCAAGGGUAGUGCGGUGGAGUGGCCGGACUCUUGGCGGGUGGUGGGUUUGGUGGCUAAUUUGGUUGUGUUGGAGCUGUUCUCUAUUAUGGUUGCGACAGAAAUUUGGGGAUAUCGGUUGAGGGAUAGGAGGGUCCGUUUUCGUUGUGAUAAUAUAGGAGUGCUCCAAGCGAUCAAUCAUCAGACCUCUAGUUCCCCGCCGCUGUUACGCUUGCUUCGGCAUUUAGUUUUGCGGAGCUUGCUGUUGAAUGCGCAGUUUGUGGCACAGUUUGUGUAUGUUGUCAAGUCUGUCGCUGAUUCUCUUUCUCGUUCACAGUGGGACAGGUUUUGCGUGCUGGCACCAGAGGCGUAGCGGGAUUCCUUGCCCCGCUCGGCUGUGGAACGUGGUUUGGGAGCAGCGGUGCAAUUGAUCAGGAGGUUGAUCAGGAGGUCGUUGAUCAGGAGUGCUCGGACUUGGUCUGCGUAUUCAAAGGUUUGGCGUUGCUGCAGAGGGUGGAUUAGUGUGUUGGUCUCAAGGAUUGGGUGAUUGUGGUGCUGUAUUUUGUGGGUAUGCUGUUUGUGUCGGGGGUGCCGCACAGCAUGUCAGUGCUGGCAUUUAGUUUUUUGUUACGGGGCCUGGGGAAUGCAACUAAGCAUUUUUGGGAUAAUGCAAUGACGGUUAUGAGGUAUUGUUGUUUCGGUUAGCCUUUGUUUUGGCCUUUUGGAUUUCCAAACUGGUGGCUCGGAGUCGGUCGGUGGUUUGUUAUUCGGGGACGUGGUGGUGCAGGCAAGGGAGGUUGGUUGUUUUUUGCGCAGUUCUAAAACUGAUCAGAGUGGUCGGGGUUGUUGGGUGGUUUUAGGGGAGUUGCCGGGGUUGUUGGUGUGCCUGGUGCGAUGUUUGCGUGUAUUUUUGGCGGUGCGGCCGGAAGAUGUGGGUUCUUUGUUGGUGCAUAGGGACGGGUCUUUUCUCUCAUGCUUUCAAUUUGUGUCGGUUUUCUGCAGGUGUUCGGUGGUGCACGGGUUGGAUUAUAGCUCUCAUUUGUAUUGGAUCGUUGUUGCUACUGAGGCAGCUCAGUGGAGGAUGGGUGCGGAAGUGAUUCGGCAGAUUGGGCGCUGGGACUCAUUUUCGUCUGUAUGUCCACAUUUGUUGUGAGUGUAUUGGGAGGGUGGUUGUUUGUUAUGCCUUUCUUGUUUUUGGGUUUUUCAGGUCACGGACGGUGUUUGGUGUGGAUUAUAUUUGGUUUAUAUGUGUAACAUAUGAAACUGUUAUUUAUUGGUUGUUAAAUAAACAGGCCACAUGGCCAAAUUUUUCCACAAUAUGUGUAAGUGUCCUUUUAUGGGAAAAGGGGGUUAUAUUCAGUUGGGAGUUGGUUUAGAGCGGGAAGGGAUGUAUCCAAAAUCCCAUCCAGUCAUGUCGCUCUUGUAUGACUCUCAGGAUUGCUACAUCAUUGUUUACUUUACCUGGAUCCCUCACCGUACACAGCCUGAAGUAGGGCCUAGCCCAACAUGCUGCUAUUGCUAUUGAAUUAAUAUAACAUCUAAGUACGGUGUGUGCACUGUGACACCUUCAUCUAGAGUAUUGAUUUCUUCUUAAAGGAUAUUUUUUAAAGUUUGCUGGUAGCAUAGAGGUUUCUACCUGAAUCUGGCAUCCAAGGGCAUAAAAAAGAACUGCUUCAUGCAACCCCAUAUAUGACCAAUAGUUUAAAGUUAGUAGUUAAAAGGAAAACUGACAGAUGGAUCAACCCCACUAACCUAAAUAUACAGGUGGUUAUUGUGGGUCAUCCUGAGUUAAACAAUGUAGUCCAUACCUCAAUCCAUUCAACCGUUCCUGACAUAUAGCACAAUCUUACAAUAUGCAGAUGAACUCUCAACUGCACAGGAGGCGGGUUUGAAGACUAUCUGCCCCUCUGACAUCCCCCAUGCACGGUAAUGUUACCACUGCUUCGACCUCCAUCUGCCUGGGAAAUGGAUAUUCAUAAAGCACGGCCUGCCUGCUCACUUCUAUCUUUGGCUACUGCGAACCAAGUCUGGUGAUUUGCAUGAUACCGAAAAUAAUACUGAUGACGGAUUCCCUUUAAGUUGUGUCAAUAAUGCAGCAUAAACUGCAGUUGUACUCCGCCCCUCUAUCAUAACACAUUGGCCCUGAUUUACUAAGAGUGGAGUGUAGUUUUCUUUGUGGCUUUUUUUCCCCAACAGGUAUUUUUCCACGGUAUUUACUAAUGUUUUCCUACAUUUUGCACUUUUCCCUAAGUUUUGCUUUUUUUUUUUUUACAACUGCUCUGAUCUGUCAGGUUUUUCUCAGCUAAAAUCCACCACAUUUUCUGUGAAAACCAUAGUAAAUAUGUUGGGAUUUUUUUUAAAUGUCAGGACACGCCCCAUUUGGGGACACACCCCUUUAUCCAAUGACCACACCCCUUUUUUGGGUUUUCUCAGUUAAAUGGAGAGUUGGUCUGUUUUUUUUCAAUUCUGACGCAAACCUGGCACAAAUUCUGGCACAAUGCACCAGAAUUUGGUGCAAAACCCGACAAAACAUGUCGGGUUUACAACAGUAAAUCAGGGCCAAUGUAUUAGUUUGUCCUUAAAGUGUUCCUUUAAUAUUUCAAAGGGAUCUAGAUUCUAUUUCUUCUUUUCUACUAUUAAAAUAACAUGCUCAGAUGAGUAAAAUAGAGAUAUGGAGUGAUAGUCAGGGACCAAACGAUUGCCAAACUAGCUAGGAAUAAUUAUUCAAGUUGUAGAGUUCAUAUCUAACUGUAUAGACUGUAAGCUCUC